rnacentral:lncRNA from 1 species
CUCAUUAGAAGCCAGCUUCCCCUGGAAAACAGCCACAUUCUGCUCUACUUUAUCAUGUCUAUGUGGCCCCCCCUGAGUGGGAAGGCUAAAGGCUUAAGUUUUGUAAGACUGACCAUAAGUGUGGUGAUAUUUCCUAAUUCCAGGGAAUGGAGCUAGUCAUGCCACACAUCUUUGCUGUUCUCACGAACUGAGAGUCUUCUUAUGUUGCUAUUUUGAACUCCUGAACUCAAGUGAUCCUCCUGCCUUGGCCUCCCAAAGUGCUGGGAUUACAGGUGUGAGCCACUGCACCCUGCCCAAGCACCUCUGCUCCAUGCCAUGCUCUUGGCUAAUUGAAGUUGUGAAAGGCAUGAGGAUUCUGGUCAUGGACUCAGCUCUCCCAUAGGGGUCUGACACCAAAGCAAUGGUCACAACAGUGAAAGGAAGAAUCCAUCUGGCCAGGCUCAGGUGGUUCAAGGCCUUCAGAAUCUGCCUUGAGACUCUCACUGGCUUUAGACUGAAAACCAUCUUGGCCCCAUCCAUCCACGUAAGCAAUUUAACUACAGCUUGCAAAGCACCGAGCUUUAACAGAAAGAAGAGAUGAGCACGGCGCAAGAACUUGGACUCCAGAAGAGCUGCCUAACAGAUUAUUUUUCUGUGGUAUUUCAUGAGAACAAACGAAGUAGGAAUUUUCCUUUUGUUCGUCUGGCCUUUGGCAUUGUUUACUUUCUUUUUAUUCUUCUGAACUGUACUUCGAGCCCUGGCAGCAUUUCUGUCCUAAAAUCUUAUUGUCAGAGGUUUAUUUUUCAGCUUUUCAAAUCAUAUCUGAUAGAGUGAGUGUGCUGCCUGGACUCAUCACUUUACUUCAGAAGAAAUACAGCUCACCCUUUAAAUGACAAUGAUGACUGUCCACAGCUUUAUGUUUUCUACCCUGAAGUGGCAGGCUUCAUUUAAAAAUAAUGUUUUCCCUCAUCAAAAGAGAACUAGGGUAGAACCCUCAACUCUGCUGAUGUCUGGGUAGUGACCUAACACGCAUGUUUUGGACAAUCACUCACUGUCUUAUAUUGGGUUUUCAUUGCAUGUAGGAUAAUUCUUUGUCAAUAGUAGUUUUGUCAACUGUGAUCUGAGGUAAUGAGGUUUUCUACUUUUGCUUGAAAUUUUGAAAAUAUGCAAGCUUUAAACAUUUGCAAAGUUGGAUUCUGUUUUCUUUAGAAAGCAAUCUGAUUUGCUGAUAUUCUCUCCAUCUGUCAGGGGAUGCAUGAUGUGGUGUAGACUUAAUGUGCUGCCUUUCUGGAACAUGGACAGAGUAGCAGCACAGAAAAAUGAGCAUUUCAGCUCUGUGAUGAUUUGUGAAAAAAAUCUCAGAUCAUUGAGCAGGCAUUUUGCUGACACCUGUGAAAAGUAACCACAUGAGAGAGUGUGGCGUGAUGGUUGGAGGCCAAGUGCUGGAGCUGGACUGCUUGAAUCAGAUCCCAGCUGCUCAGCUGUAGUGAACUGAAUGGUGGUCCCAAAAAGAUACAUGUACCUCCUAAUCCCUGGAACCUGUGAAUGUGAGCUUAUUAGGCAAAAGGGUCUUUGCAGAUGUACUUACAUUGAGGCUCUCAGAGAUGAGAACAUCCUGGAUUAUCAGGGUGGGUCCUAUAUCCAAUGACAAGUGUCUCCUUAUAGGAGACAGAAGAAGAUGCCGACCCAGAAGAGACUAAGUAAAGAUGGAGGCAGAGACUGGAGUGAGGCUGCCGCAGGCCAAAGAAUUCCUGGUGCCAGCAAAAGCUGGAAGAGGCAAGGAAGGACCCUUCCCUGGGGCUUUUGGAGGGAGUGCAGCCCUGCUGAUGCCUUAGUGUUGGACAUCUGGGCUAUGAAACUAUGAGAGAGAAACUUCUAUUGUUUUAAGCAACUCUGUUUGUGGUACUCUGUUAUGGCAGCCACAGGAAACUAAUACACCCUUUACCACCUG